rnacentral:rRNA from 1 species
ACGGCAGUACCAUGCUGAAUAUACCGGUUCUCGUUAGAUCACCGAAGUUAAGCAUCAUUGGGCGCGGUCAGUUCUUGGGUGGGUGACCACCUGGGAACACUGCGUGCCGUU